rnacentral:rRNA from 1 species
CUAUACAUGCAGUCGAGCGGACAGAUGGGAGCUUGCUCCCUGAUGUUAGCGGCGGACGGGUGAGUAACACGUGGGUAACCUGCCUGUAAGACUGGGAUAACUCCGGGAAACCGGGGCUAAUACCGGAUGGUUGUUUGAACCGCAUGGUUCAAACAUAAAAGGUGGCUUCGGCUACCACUUACAGAUGGACCCGCGGCGCAUUAGCUAGUUGGUGAGGUAACGGCUCACCAAGGCAACGAUGCGUAGCCGACCUGAGAGGGUGAUCGGCCACACUGGGACUGAGACACGGCCCAGACUCCUACGGGAGGCAGCAGUAGGGAAUCUUCCGCAAUGGACGAAAGUCUGACGGAGCAACGCCGCGUGAGUGAUGAAGGUUUUCGGAUCGUAAAGCUCUGUUGUUAGGGAAGAACAAGUACCGUUCGAAUAGGGCGGUACCUUGACGGUACCUAACCAGAAAGCCACGGCUAACUACGUGCCAGCAGCCGCGGUAAUACGUAGGUGGCAAGCGUUGUCCGGAAUUAUUGGGCGUAAAGGGCUCGCAGGCGGUUUCUUAAGUCUGAUGUGAAAGCCCCCGGCUCAACCGGGGAGGGUCAUUGGAAACUGGGGAACUUGAGUGCAGAAGAGGAGAGUGGAAUUCCACGUGUAGCGGUGAAAUGCGUAGAGAUGUGGAGGAACACCAGUGGCGAAGGCGACUCUCUGGUCUGUAACUGACGCUGAGGAGCGAAAGCGUGGGGAGCGAACAGGAUUAGAUACCCUGGUAGUCCACGCCGUAAACGAUGAGUGCUAAGUGUUAGGGGGGUUUCCGCCCCUUAGUGCUGCAGCUAACGCAUUAAGCACUCCGCCUGGGGAGUACGGUCGCAAGACUGAAACUCAAAGGAAUUGACGGGGGCCCGCACAAGCGGUGGAGCAUGUGGUUUAAUUCGAAGCAACGCGAAGAACCUUACCAGGUCUUGACAUCCUCUGACAAUCCUAGAGAUAGGACGUCCCCUUCGGGGGCAGAGUGACAGGUGGUGCAUGGUUGUCGUCAGCUCGUGUCGUGAGAUGUUGGGUUAAGUCCCGCAACGAGCGCAACCCUUGAUCUUAGUUGCCAGCAUUCAGUUGGGCACUCUAAGGUGACUGCCGGUGACAAACCGGAGGAAGGUGGGGAUGACGUCAAAUCAUCAUGCCCCUUAUGACCUGGGCUACACACGUGCUACAAUGGACAGAACAAAGGGCAGCGAAACCGCGAGGUUAAGCCAAUCCCACAAAUCUGUUCUCAGUUCGGAUCGCAGUCUGCAACUCGACUGCGUGAAGCUGGAAUCGCUAGUAAUCGCGGAUCAGCAUGCCGCGAU